CAGUCGCCACGGGAACACGGAGGAUCCGAGCGUUAUCCGGAAUUAUUGGGUUUAAAGGGUGCGUAGGCGGAUAGAUAAGUCAGUGGUGAAAGACGGUGGCUCAACCAUCGCAGUGCCGUUGAUACUGUUUAUCUUGAAUAUGGAUGAGGUAGGCGGAAUGUGGCUAGUAGCGGUGAAAUGCAUAGAUAUGCCACAGAACACCGAUUGCGAAGGCAGCUUACCAAGGCAAAAUUGACGCUGAGGCACGAAAGCGUGGGGAUCGAACAGGAUUAGAUACCCGUGUAGUCCCUGUCUCUUAUAC
rnacentral:rRNA from 1 species